GACGAACGCUGGCGGCGUGCCUAAUACAUGCAAGUCGAACGAAGCUGUUUUAACUGGUGCUUGCACCGACUUAAACAACUGAGUGGCGAACGGGUGAGUAACACGUGGGUAACCUGCCCCAAAGCGGGGGAUAACAUUUGGAAACAGAUGCUAAUACCGCAUAACCACAGAAACCACAUGGUUUCUGUGUCAAAGAUGGUUUCGGCUAUCACUUUGGGAUGGACCCGCGGCGUAUUAGCUAGUUGGUAAGGUAAUGGCUUACCAAGGCAAUGUAACGUAGCCGAACUGAGGGGUUGAUCGGCAACAUUGGGACUGAGACACGGCCCAAACUCCUACGGGAGGCAGAAGUAGGGAAUCUUCCACAAUGGACGAAAGUCUGAUGGAGCAACGCCGCAUGAGUGAAGAAGGUUUUCGGAUCGUAAAACUCUGUUGUCAGAGAAGAACGUGUGCGAGAGUAACUGCUCGUGCAGUGACGGUAUCUGGCCAGAAAGCCACGGCUAACUACGUGCCAGCCGCCGCGGUAA
rnacentral:rRNA from 1 species